rnacentral:rRNA from 1 species
AAUAUUGGGCAAUGGGCGGGAGCCUGACCCAGCCAUGCCGCGUGCAGGAAGACGGNGUNNUGCGUNGNAAACUGCUUUUAUACNNNNNGAAAAGGCCCAUGCGUGGGACAUUGCCGGUACCGUAUGAAUAAGCACCGGCUAACUCCGUGCCAGCAGCCGCGGUAAUACGGAGGGUGCGAGCGUUGUCCGGAUUUAUUGGGUUUAAAGGGUGCGUAGGCGGCCCGUUAAGUCGGCGGUGAAAGUCUGUGGCUCAACCAUGGAACUGCCGUUGAUACUGGCGGGCUUGAGUGCCGGUGGGGUACAUGGAAUUGGUGGUGUAGCGGUGAAAUGCAUAGAUACCAUCAGGAACACCGAUAGCGUAGGCAUUGUACUUACCGGCAACUGACGCUGAGGCACGAAAGCGCGGGUAUCGAAC